UACGUAGGGUGCAAGCGUUAAUCGGAAUUACUGGGCGUAAAGCGUGCGCAGGCGGUUUUGUAAGUCUGCUGUGAAAUCCCCGGGCUCAACCUGGGAAUGGCAGUGGAUACUGGCAAGCUAGAGUGCGGUAGAGGGUAGUGGAAUUCCCGGUGUAGCAGUGAAAAUGCGUAGAGAUCGGGAGGAACACCAGUGGCGAAGGCGGCUACCUGGACCAGCACUGACACUGAAGCACGAAAGCGUGGGGAGCAAACAGG
rnacentral:rRNA from 1 species